GCCGGGCGCGGUGGCGCAUGCCUGUAGUCCCAGCUACUCGGGAAGCUGAGGUGGGAGGAUCGCUUGAGCCCAGGAGUCCUGGGUGUAGUGCGCUAUGCCGAUUGGGUGUCCACACUAAGUUUGGCACCAAUACGGUGACCUCCAGGAGCGGGGGACCACCAGGUUGCCUAAGGAGGGGUGAACCGGCCCAGGUCAGAAACGGAGCAGGUCAAAACUCCCAUGCUGAUCAGUCGUGGGAUCACACCUACUGUGAAUAGCCACUGCACUCCAGCCUGGGCAACAUAGCGCGACCCUGUCUCU
rnacentral:SRP_RNA from 1 species